UACGUAGGGGGCGAGCGUUGUCCGGAGUUACUGGGCGUAAAGGGCAUGCAGGCGGUCGUACGCGUUUCGGGUGACAGCGGGUGGCUUAACUACCCGAGUGUUCGAAAGACGGUACGACUUGAGGACUCGAGAGGGACACGGAAUUCCGGGUGGAGUGGUGAAAUGCGUAGAGAUCCGGAGGAACACCGAAGGCGAAGGCAGUGUCCUGGCGAGUGACUGACGCUGAGGUGCGAAAGCUAGGGGAGCAAACAGG
rnacentral:rRNA from 1 species